AGCAGAAGCGCGAGCAUGGGUUCGCAGAGCUCGGGCUGUGCGCUUCUCCCGCGAGAUCACAAUAAAACCAGUGAUCAAUCUAUUUUUUUUUCCAACUUGCCAGUUGGUUACUCGGUUAUUGUCUCCACAAACUGAUGGAGGCACGUUAUUUCAUGUCAUCCGACUUAGGUUUGUGGAGAGGUACCAGGAACUGUCGAGGCAGCGACCAGAACUGUCUGAAGAUGCUGUCUAUGAGGCUGUCAAGGAGGACUUCUCCUAUGAGCUGUCUAGUGGGACAGGACGAGCGGCCCACAACAGCCGGAGACCUGCAUCCACAUGAGUCUAGUGGGUUCUCACCAUUGAGCUAGGAGCUAGAGAUAAAUGUGAUUAAACAUGAUGAUCAGUAUUCUUCAUUCUCGCAGUAA